GUUAAUGUAGCUUAAUAAAAGCAAAGCACUGAAAAUGCUUAGAUGGAUACAAACAUCCCAUAAACA
rnacentral:tRNA from 1 species